UACGUAGGGUGCAAGCGUUGUCCGGAAUUAUUGGGCGUAAAGGGCUCGUAGGCGGUUUGUCGCGUCGGGAGUGAAAACCUUGGGCUUAACUCAGGGCUUGCUUUCGAUACGGGCAGACUAGAGGUAUGCAGGGGAGAACGGAAUUCCUGGUGUAGCGGUGAAAUGCGCAGAUAUCAGGAGGAACACCGGUGGCGAAGGCGGGUCUCUGGGCCGACAUUGACGCUGAGGAGCGAAAGCGUGGGGAGCGAACAGG
rnacentral:rRNA from 1 species